rnacentral:rRNA from 1 species
GACAGAGGUGCCGAGCGUUAGGCGGAAUCACUGGGCUUAAAGCGUGUGUAGGCGGGCCGUUAAGUGUCUUGUGAAAUCCCCCGGCUCAACCGGGGAAUUGCUGGGCAUACUGGCGGUCUUGAGCCAUCUAGGGGCUACCGGAACAAAUGGUGGAGCGGUGAAAUGCGUAGAUAUCAUGUGGAACGCCAAUGGUGAAAACAGGUAGCUGGGGAUGUGCUGACGCUGAGACACGAAAGCCAGGGGAGCAAACGGG